rnacentral:rRNA from 1 species
GACAGAGGGGGCAAGCGUUGCUCGGAAUUACUGGGCGUAAAGCGUGCGCAGGCGGUGAUGUGAGACAGGUGUGAAAUCCCCGGGCUUAACCUGGGAACUGCAUUUGUGACUGCAUCGCUGGAGUGCGGCAGAGGGGGGAUGGAAUUCCGCGUGUAGCAGUGAAAUGCGUAGAUAUGCGGAGGAACACCGAUGGCGAAGGCAAUCCCCUGGGCCUGCACUGACGCUCAUGCACGAAAGCGUGGGGAGCAAACAGG